CCUACGGGGGGCAGCAGUGAGGAAUAUUGGUCAAUGGACGAGAGUCUGAACCAGCCAAGUAGCGUGAAGGAUGACUGCCCUAUGGGUUGUAAACUUCUUUUAUAUGGGAAUAAAACGUUCCACGUGUGGGAUUUUGUAUGUACCAUAUGAAUAAGGAUCGGCUAACUCCGUGCCAGCAGCCGCGGUAAUACGGAGGAUCCGAGCUUUAUCCGGAUUUAUUGGGUUUAAAGGGAGCGUAGGUGGAUUGUUAAGUCAGUUGUGAAAGUUUGCGGAUCAACCGUAAAAUUGCAGUUGAAACUGGCAGUCUUGAGUACAGUAGAGGUGGGCGGAAUUCGUGGUGUAGCGGUGAAAUGCUUAGAUAUCACGAAGAACUCCGAUUGCGAAGGCAGUUCACUGGACUGCAACUGACACUGAGGCUCGAAAGUGUGGGUAUCAAACAGGAUUAGAUACCCGGGUAGUC
rnacentral:rRNA from 1 species